ensembl:lncRNA
CCCCAGGGGCGGCUGAGAUGAAAUGGGAUAGCACACGUGUUGUAUAUUCAGCUGGUCACGCUUAUACCACUGUUGUGGUAUCUGCAACCCCGCCUGGGAGGUGUGGGGUGUGUCCCUCUCCCUUAUUCUGUCCACCGGUCAAGUGAGAUGCCAGACCACCUCCCCUCUCUAUACCCAAGCACCUGAGUCCACCAUUAGAAACCCAUUCUUUAACCACUGACACCUGGUCCUCUUUAAAAUGAAAACGGCCCCCAGAAGGCUGGCAGAGAAGUCCUCCUAUCUGAGCAAGAAAUCAUUUAUGAAAUGACCUAAUCUGAGAGUGAAUGGGGAUGCAGCCGAGUGCCUGGGUCACGGGGGCUCAUUGCCUGAAGGGCAGCCUGGUCCAUCCUUAGACAAUGCUGUGCACUGUGCCUCGGAGCUCAAGCUCACGUCCCUCAAACUCCUCUGGGAAUCUCUCUGACCCUGGAGCCCAGCACUGAGGUCACUCUCCAGAAAAUCCUAAGCCACAGAUAAGCAGCUGCCAAUAAGUUUUGUAAAAAGCCAUCUCAGGGUGUUUGCCAAUGAAACCAGCGUAGCAGCAUAGUUUUAUUCAGAGUUGUCAGUCUGAGGAAGGGUUUCCCAGGUGGCUUGGUGGUAAAGACCCUGCCUGCCAAUGCAGAAGAUGCAGGAUCAAUCCCUGGGUCGGGAAGAUCCCCUGGAGACGGAAAUGGCAAUGCACCCCAGUAUUCUUGCCUAGUAAAUUCCAUGGACAGAGGAGCCUGGCAGGCUACAGUCUGUGGGGUUGCAAAGAGUUGGACAUGACAGAACACGAACGCGUGUCAGUCUGAGGCAGCACACAGGCACUCUGAUGAGUGGGAAUGUGGCAGAAUCAUCUUAAUAAUAAGGGCUCACCCAGACCAGGUGUCAGGCACUAUUCAAAUGCUUUCACGUGGAGCAACUCAUCUAGUACUUCCAACCCUUCAGUGAGGCAGGUGCUAGGAAAUGGAGACUUAGAGAGGUCAAGUGACUUGCCCCAGGUCCCACAGC